UCUCAGUUCGGAUUGGAGUCUGCAACCCGACUCCAUGAAGCUGGAUUCGCUAGUAAUCGCGCAUCAGCCACGGCGCGGUGAAUACGUUCCCGGGCCUUGUACACACCGCCCGUCAAGCCAUGGGAGCCGGGGGUGCCUGAAGGCCGUGACCGCGAGGAGCGGCCUAGGGUAAAACUGGUGACUGGGGCUAAGUCGUAACAAGGUAUC
rnacentral:rRNA from 1 species